UUUUGUACUAUGUUUCUCUUAAGCAGGGGCAGCAGCAGAAGGACCAAGGGGCCUAACACAAGAUAGGGGUCAUGCCAGCUACGGGAGAUCAGAGAAGAGUCAUGGAAGAAUUUCAACAGUCCAUGAAGGCAAGAGGACAUUAUGAAAAUAAAAAAGGGAGCCAAGAGAACAAUUGAUUGAAGUGCACUUGGAAUGAGGAUGAUAUGGUUUGGCUGUGUCCCCACCCAAAUCUUAUUUUGAAUUGUAGCUCCCAUAAUUCCACGUGUCAUGGGAGGGACCCAAUGGGAGGUAAUUUAAUCAUAGGGGUGGGUCUUUCCCAUGCUGUUCUCAUGAUAAUGAAUAAGUCUUAUGAGAUCUGAUGGUUUUAUAAAGGGGAGUUCCCCUGCACACGCUCUUUUGCCUGCCAUCAUGUAACAUGUGCCAUUUGCCUUCCGCCAUGAUUGUGAGGCCUCCCCAGCCACAUGGAACUGUGAGUCCAUUAAACCUCUUUUUCUUUAUAAAUUAACCAGUUUCAGGUAUGUUUUUAU
rnacentral:lncRNA from 1 species